rnacentral:rRNA from 1 species
UAAGGAAUAUUGGUCAAUGGACGCAAGUCUGAACCAGCCAUGCCGCGUGAAGGAUGAAGGUCCUCUGGAUUGUAAACUUCUUUUAUCUGGGACGAAAACGGGAUUUUUAUCUCAAUUGACGGUACCAGAGGAAUAAGCACCGGCUAACUCCGUGCCAGCAGCCGCGGUAAUACGGAGGGUGCGAGCGUUAUCCGGAUUUACUGGGUUUAAAGGGUGCGUAGGUGGGCUUAUAAGUAAGUGGUGAAAUCUCCGAGCUUAACUUGGAAACUGCCGUUGAUACUAUAGGUCUUGAAUUAUCUGGAGGUAAGCGGAAUAUGUCAUGUAGCGGUGAAAUGCUUAGAUAUGACAUAGAACACCAAUUGCGAAGGCAGCUUACUACAUAUAAAUUGACGCUGAGGCACGAAAGCGUGGGGAUCAAACA